AUGUGUUACUUGUCAUCUUUGGCUGCAGUGCCUCGACAAGAGGCAGGCCCAGACUUAGAACUGCUAUAUAUUUUCUUUUUUUUCCAGCUGUCAGAAUCUUCUGAGCCUGCUUUUAAAAUGGAGAUGCCUGGAUUCAGUCCUCGAUCACCUGAACCUCUUCAGAGGCCCGGGAUCUGCACUUUAAUAAGCUUCCCAAGGGUGACUCUUACGUGCAUGAAAGACCCACGUCGGUACCUGUCUGGCUAAUGAAAGAAAUGCAAAGAGGAUUUCUGCUUUUACACAAGAGGCAAAAAGUGAAGACCGUGGUGAGGGUUUGUUUCGUGGAUCGUGGGGUGAGUGGCCCCACCAGGCUUCUUCCCUGGGAGCCACGCUCAGCGUCCCCGCUUCCAGCUCCCACAGCUUUGAACUGCUCCUGCACAUCUGUGCUUUACCUUGAUUUUUUUUUCUUUGCAUGCAUCUGUUAGCAAGAUGCGUCCUAAAGCAUCAGGGAAGCUUAAAAGAGGUGCUUUUGGGGGGGUCUGGGAAUCCUAAAAAAUGUUCUAUAUAAAUUAAUAGUGACUGCCUCUCUGCUUUACACCAUUUUGACUUCUACCACCGUUGGCACCGUUGGCGGUGAAAGGAGUGACACCGGCCCUUCCCGGGGGGUGGGGGGACGUCUUUAGGGCGCUCCCCCGGCAGGGAGACCCACGGCCCCGGGGUGCACACGCACGUGCCUGACGGAGUGCCAUCGGACUGCUCCUCGGAGGGCCUGGGCCAUGCCCCCCGGCCGUCGGGGCGCCAGUACCUCCAGGCCUACAGCCUCUCAGGCUGCAAGAAAGGAAGCUCGGAGUUUCUGAGUCUUGCCUUUCCAUUUCUCUAACUUGUGUCUUUUCAAGAUCAAAAGGUCUGCAGCCGAUGGAGGCGACUGCGCUCUUUGACCCAGGGUGCCAGGGCCGCCGACAGUAGCCUCCCUGGCAGCGAAUGCAGCCUGUUGAUUGUAUGGGUGCCCCCCCCAACCUCGGGCACAGCCCCUCAUGGUGCACUUUGAGGUCUGGCCUCCUGCUCUCUCCCAUCGAGGCUGCACACAGGUGUGCGAGGUGCCUCUGGGAAGCCCCAGGGCACAGCAGCCAGGGCACACGUCGGCCAAGUCCUCACGUCCAUCCACACUGAGCUGCGGAACAAGGAGCAGGUGACCGAGGCCCACGCAGGGUUCAGGUUCCCUGGCCGCCAGCAGGUCCGCGUCUCCAAGAAGUGGGGCUUUACGAAGUUUAAUGUGGACAAGUUUGAAGAUAUGGUGGCUGAAAAGCGGCUCAUCGCAGUUGGCUGUGGGGUCAAAUACAUCCCUAAUCGUGGCCCCUUGGACAAAUGGAGGGCUCUGCACUCAUGAGAACCUUGCGCCACCCGAACCCUAUUCAUGCCCACCAAUAAAUCCUGCUUCCUGUCAAAAUAAAAUAAAAUAAAAUAAAAUAAAAUAAAAUAAAAUAAAAUAAAAUAAAAAAGAUCAAAAGGUUUUAAAAUGAUGAGUCCAAUGUAUCAUUUUUCUUCUUUUAGGGUUUUUGCUUUGACCUUGCCUAACCCAAGAUCGCGAAGAUC
rnacentral:lncRNA from 1 species